GAGCAAGGGGCGGAGCUGGCAUGGCCUGAUGUAUGGCAUGACCGAGUGAACGUCAGUCAUGCAAAUUGCGUCAUUCUUGCCAGUAUUUGUGAACAGUACACAAGCUCUUAUCUUUGAUUAAUAUAGUUGUUUUCUUGUUUUUCAGUGCAAUGGAUAAGAAAAACGAAAAAGAUAAUACAUUAGAAUUUAUUUCCAUGUAUAGAAAUCAUGAAUGUUUGUGGAGAGUGCAAUGUAAGGAUUAUAGUAACAAAAACAAAAGGAAUAGUGCCUUAGAUGCGUUACUUGACAUAUACAGAAAACUAGUCCCUGGAGCAUCAAAGGCAGAUGUACUUAGAAAAAUAAACACUCUGAGGAGUAGUUUCAGAAGAGAAUUGAAGAAAAUUAAUGAUUCAAAAAAAUCUGGCUCUGGUACAGAUGAAUUAUACACACCAUCUCUGUACUAUUUUGACGAACUAAGGUUUGUUGCAGACCAAGAUGUUCCUCGCCAAAGUACAAGCACUUUAGAGGAAGAUGGAAAUACAAUGAAAACAACAGACCUUGUAUCGCAAGACACUGAACCAGGUCAUGCUGACGACUUGGAUACUGAUGUUACCUCGCCACAAAGCAGCACAUCAGUUCAAACACCAACUCCGAACAAAAGACCGAGACCCACAAAGAAAAAUGAUGUGACGCAUGACAUCCUACAGAGAGUGGCCGAAAACUUGCAGCGUCCAGAGUCGUCAAUGAGUAUUUUUGGUAAAUAUGUAGGUUCAAAACUGGACGAGUUCGACCCUAAAACAAGUAGGGUAGCACGUCGCUUAAUUAAUGAGGUUCUAGACGCUGCAGAAGGAGGAGAGCUUAGUAGCAAUGUAAGCCUAAACUUUAAUAAUGUAACAUUUAAGCCUUCAGAUAUUGUUUAAAUUGUUUCAAACCAAGUUACGUCACCUCAUGUUAUGAUACAAUCCCAACAAUACUCCAAUUACAAUGAUGCCCCCCAAAUCCGAGGGUCAACAUCCAUUAGUGAACCUCCCCUUACCCCAAAUGUAGGCAAUGAUCCACAAAAUUUAGGUUGUUAUUUCGCGAAUUUCACUCCUCUUUGAAGAUGUUUUUCAGAAAAGACUUGUUUCAUUUGUAUUUAUGAUGAUAUACAUGUCCGUGCUUAAAGGAUAUUUUUCUAAAAGUAGCUUUGCAGAUUUAUUAUGUUUUUGCAACAUGUACUUAUUUACAUCAAUAAUGUAAAGUGAAGGAACUCAAUUUGGUUAUUUUUGAAGGAUACUUUUCUAAAAGUAGCAUUGCAGAUUUAUUAUGUUUUUGCAACAUGUACUUAUUUACAUAAAUAAUGUAUAUUAAAUGAAGUAAAUUAUGUUUUUGGUUAAAA